UUUGAAAUAGCUGUUAUCCAUAAUUUUGAAAUUUGACAUGUCUUGAUGUCAAGAUUAAAUACCUUGCUUAUAGCUUUGAGUUUCUUGCUUUGUAGCUCUGAAUAGUCAUGGGUUGAAAUGUGGUGUUAUGUAUCAGAACUACACUUAAUCUAGAAACAGAGAAAGGAAGUUAGAAAGAGACUUCGUUGAGAAAAGAAGGAGAAGGGCGAGAAAAUUUAGAAAGAAUAUAGA
rnacentral:misc_RNA from 1 species